UUAACAAUGAUGUUCAGAAUACUAAGCAAAUAAAGAAAUAAAAAGUCUGAAGACAGUAACCUUGUGCUAUUUUUUAGCUAAAUAAUUCAGCUUUUCCAAAUGAAAAUAUGAACCCAUGAAGUUAGCUUGUAUAUCAUGAAAAAUAAGCAGAUUGUGAGAAAAGAAAAUGAGUAAGUUUGAAGAUUAAUGCCAAAAUCCAUAAAGCAUUAAAUGCAUGCAUACACAUUGUACAAUGGCUAUUCUGCAUAACUAAAUAUCUCACUUAUUUAUUAAAUAAGAAAUAUAUUUGCCAAUUUUAUAAGAAUUAUUCAAUAGCUACUGUGUCCAGUCCCUCUCACAAAUUCAAAGAAAAAAUAGAACAACUCAUAAUUUCUGUCUUGGGCUGUUUAUUUUCCUGAAAAUAACAGAAACAAGUAACGAGAGGAUUGUGGGAGGGCAUAAUGACCUUAGAAAACAUGCUCAGCCUGUGAUUAUUAUCACAGAAAAUAUUCAUCUGUGAUUAUUCUGUAAUUAUCAAUACUCACAAAUAGAAGCCACUUGCCUAGCUUAUCUGCCAGGAUAUGUACUAAAAUGGGAGUAAUUAAUCCACAUAUCACAGUGUAAAAAUCACUUGACUUUGGAAGACUUGAAGGAAUUUUGGAUGAUGGUCAGCAAGCAGAUCUUUUUUUUUUUUUUUUUUUAAGUAACUAGGUGAAUUACCUGUUUGCUUUUUCUUUCUUCCCUCAAAUCAUAACACAAAAAGUACCAAACAGUCAGAGUAUUAUGUAACAGCCGAGGACUGAUAUCAAGGAAUGAAGCUGCAUGGUCUCAUGCAUGUCAUAGAGAUCUAAAUGCAUAGGUGGCAUACAUUCUAGACCAUAAAAUGUCUUGCUUUGAUUUUAAAGGUAAGGCUUAUACAUGUAUAUUGAUGACAUACCAAUUACAGUUAUGGUAAUUUUCAUACAUUUGCCUUUGAGAGGGGGAGUUGUAAUGACUUUUGUUCACAUUUCCUUGUAAAUAAAUUGUAUCUUAACAGUGAAUUUAAUUUGUGGACAAUUUCUCUCUUUACCAUGACAAUGCAGACAAUGAAAACCAGGGAACUUCAAACAGCAACUUGAGGUUGCUUCUGCUUCUGUGGUAUGUGCAUCAAUAAGCUAUACAAAAAAAAAAUUUUUAAAAGUAUUCCGAAUAUUCUAAAUCAACAAGUUUUCAUUUUAUUUUUAAUCUGCUUUCUGCUUCUCUUCUAUUCUAUCUAAUCUCUUACUCAUCAUCAACAUCAUUCAUUUCUCUGCUGCUUUAUUUUACCACUGAACAUUUCUGUACAUCAUGUUGUAUUUGUCAUCUUCCCAGAUGACCAAAUACCGUAUUUCAGCUGCCAGAAACUCUUGCAAAGUUAUCAUCACAAAAGCCUUCCCCUGUUUCUGUCAUAUUGCUGUAAUGGCAUUAUUAUACUGUGCAAGCACCACAUUCUUCCAAAAAUCUUGUCAGGUUUCUGUCCAAGAAAUGCUCCAGGAUCAAAGUGAAUUUCUGUUUAUGUCCAGCUUUGGAAUGGCCACAGAGUUAUCUGUCACUGGUACAGGUGUAUGAAGUAGUAAUUGCAGGCAUGUUAGGCAGGAAAAACACUGUAUGUGGUUGGCCUUCUUUCUUCCCUAUCCAUUCAUUGACAGUGAUGAAGCCAACUAGUACAUAUACUAUUAUCAAUCACAAAUUAUUAUUUUUAUAGCAAACAGAGUUUCUGUGAGGUAUCAAAUAAACUGACUGAGCACCACGCAAGCUUUACUUUUGAGUUAAGACAAUUACACCAGCAGGGUUGAAAAUCUUUAGUGGCUACAUGAGUACAAACUGCUCUAGGAAGUGCAUUUCAGUGCUGGGGAAGAAUGCAUGACAUAAAAUUGAUUAAACAUAAUAGUUAACAGCUACAGCUAACAGUAACAGGUAAUUAAGAAUAUAAUAUAACCAUUUUUUCCCUAUUCCCUAUUCUUCUUGGCAUAGUUGGCAAGGAUUAUUCCCCACUCCCACUAAAACAUGUAAAAAACACUUGCUAAUUCCUGCCACUGGUGAAGAAAAAAGGCAUCUUUGCUUUCACUUGUUCACAGAGACCAAUGUGAACCUGAACUAAUCACAGCAGAAUUUUACACGAAACAUAAAUAUUAAAAUCAAGAGAUACUUUUUGCUCUGAACAAAUUCCGUAAAGAAAGACUACUGUCUCUGUCUCUCUGGAAGCCUCUCAGGAAUCCCGGCCAGCCCGGGGCAGCCCCGAAGCAGCCGAUAGCGGGGGAGGACACCCUCUCGUGCCCCGAGGGUACUGAUGGCAAUUAGGCUAGUCGCGUUCGCAGCAGAAGAGACACAGGAGACAACGGUAGACCAUAAAAGGCCGACUGUCAGCAGGGGCCAGUGCAAGGUUUAUUUAGAGCUCCCGAGGAGGCCCCUCACCUCAGGGGGCCUCUUGGUCCGAGUGCCCGGGAGGAAUGCUGAGGUCACAUUUAAAGGAUGGGAGGCAACGGAAGAUUGACUUCUACUUGGUAAGGUGCAGAAGGAGAAGCAUAAAGGCUAUUUAGAGCACAGCUGCUCCAUGGGACCCAAGGGGGACUCUGGAAUCAAGAAAUCAGUCUUGCAUUUUUUUACCAGCAGGAGCUGACAGAACUUGGGGGCAAGGAAAAUGAGUGCAAGAAUUAGGGUCCAAGUGCUGACAAAUCAGUAAAAUGACAAAGUGGCCAUCAGUGGAGCUGACCUAAGACACUCAACGAGCAGGCAGAAAAUUCACUUUCUGUGAAGACUGCAGAUUGCAAAUGAUAAGCUCUACUGAAGAAUCUUGCGAGGAGAGGCUGAGAGAGCUGGGCCCAUUUAGUCUAGAGAGGAGAAGGCUGAGAGGGAAGAUCAAUAACACAUAUAAAUAUCCCAAAAGUCGGGGCCAAGAGGAUGAUGCCAGACUGUUCAGUGGUGUCCAGAGACUGGGAAAAGAGCAAGGGCCAUAAACUAAAACACAAGAAGUUCCAUCUCAACAUGAGGAAAAACUUUGUGUUAAGGGAGGCAGAGCACUGGAACAGGCUGCCCAGGGAGGUUGUAUAGCCUCCCUCUCCAGACACAUUCAAAACUCAGCUGGAUGAGUUCCUGAGUUACCUGCUCUGGGUGACCCUGAUGGGAUGGAAUAGAAGAAGUUGAGAAGAAUAGUCCAAAAUAAGGAUUAUUCUGGGAGCCUUCUACCAGCACUACUCCUUAUGUCUAAAAUUAAAUGCUGCACCUUCUAUUUUCAGUAACACCUGUCUUGUUUUCUUCUCAGUAGAUCCCAGUAUCUGAACUUGAAAACCAGUAUCACUUAAACAAGGAAGUAUUAACUUAAAAUCUGUAAAUUUUCUGUUUUGAACAUCCUGCCUUUGUUGCCUAUCCUUUUGCCUAUCAAAUCACAGUAACAAGAAUCUUGAAUCAAGAAAGUAAAUUUUAGUAUUGUGCCCCGAUUUUAAAGACAGAGAUACCAAGAAAUUUACCAAUUGGCAUUAUUAAAAGCUUUCUCUAAAGGAAAUUUUUCACCAUUUUCUCUAGAGAAUGAUUACAUAAAAGGACACGGCAGAUGUGACCUACGGAAGUGCUGGUAAUUUCCACCAGCUUUUAGCAGGCUUGAAAAACACUCUAUUGUGCAAUCCUUGACUGAUGCAGAAGUCAAUAUUUUUAUUAAGUACUGAAAGUGAUGAUAUCAGGAAUGAAUCUGCACAGAUUUCACCGUGUGCAACACUGGAGGAAUGUUUUCUAGCUUAAACAUUUGAAAAGAUAGAAAUAAGCGUUCUAUUUUUAACUAGACUUUCAAUUUAAUUGCCAUCAGUUGGAGGGGAUUCCUGUUAGCCUAGGAAUAAUUAUGAUUCCAAAUAGUAACCAAGGGCUGUAACUCAGAGGUUUUGUAAUCCCCUUCUGCUGUUCUGAACACCUCUACUUUUCUUGAGCCACCUCUACAACCUUUCUCUACAUGCAGGCAGCCAGCAUCUAUCUGCAGUGCUAUCAUCAUUAUCCUGACUACUUUAUCCUUUAUCUCUGCAAUGUAUUUCAAUCUCAGAUUUAUGCAAAAGCUUUAGAAAUAACACUUUUAGGCACAGUGUACUAAACAUCUCAGUCAUUUUUAAUUUCUGCACUUGAUUACCAAAAUCAAUGUCAAAUUUAGUAUCAUAUUUGCAAUUUAAAUUAUUCUAAUCUCUUAUUUUAGCCCACAUUUCUGUAUCAAAUUACUGCUGGAGACUUAGCCUUAGUUGGUGAACUUCCUGUGACUGUACAGCUCUUACAGAAUGCAAUUCCACUUUAAUGGCACACAAAGGCCACACUUCAGUUAUUAAAUUAUGAUAUAUGAUAAUAGGAUCCAAUUGAGUAUGUUUGCUAUUUAACUUUUCUGUUCAAACUACACUAUUUUUCUGUUAUAAAAUCUAUUGAAGGAAACCAUUAUUUGAGAUGUUAUUUCUAUUGUGUAAUUACAAUUUUUUAAGUUGUCAGUACUCAAAAGAAUAACUAAUAUAAUAUCUUUGUUUAUCUCAUAUGAAACAGAAGAUACUUUAGAGAAAUAGUUAAAAUUAGCUUGUUAACUUUUCCAUGUUUUAAAAAUCUGAAUGGGAAAAGGAGAAUUGCUUUCCUUCAUGAACAGCAAUUCCAUUUUAUCAUUAACUUAUCCUUGACCAAACAUCAUAAAGCCUUGACCAUAAUACCAUAAGUAAUGUUUAUGAAACAAAUGGGAAUUCUGUUGUUUAUUUUAUUGGAAAAAAAUACAGUGCAAUACAAGGGCAAACUAAUCUGGAGCAAUUUUCAUCAGCAAAGCCCAAAAGUGCUGAAGUGCUGAGGUUUUUUUCUUUUUGUAGAAGAACUGAAAAGUUGUUUGUAUUACUAAAGAUAAUUCUACAUUCCUCAUGGAAAAUAUCAUAUGAAAGAAGACUCACAUGUAGAUUGCCAAAUAUAUUUGGCGUAGUGUAUCAGUUCAGGAAAAAAUAAGGAAAAAGAAGAAGUGCUUGAUUUUAUCUAGCAGCCCUGCUCAAUAAAUUCAUUAAGUCAAAAUUAGUUAACCUGAUAAAUUUUGUAUAUAAUAUAAACUUCCUAACAGCAAUUUUUCUCUCCUCAUAUCCCAAUCUAGUACUGAGGUCUGAUUUUAUCUAGCAUUUCUAAUGAGUGAUUUACUGGCUUACUAUUUUUAUAUCUGUGGUAUUAAAAUGAUAUUGUGGAAGAGGUUUUGUCACAAUGAAAGCUGGAGUCAUACAAAAAGAGCUUCUGGAUUCUCUGUGAACACUGGACCUGCUGGAUAUGAAGGUGAAAAAGCAUAUGCAUUUCUAACACAGCUACAGAAUUUCUUCUUUGCCAAUGCAGUAUUGUACUGCAGUAUUUGACAGUGCACUCCUAUACAAAGGUGGUUAUUUUCACAUUCAAAUUUGCAAGAUUUCAUUGCUUUCUAAGCACUGUAAUCACAUCCCUUUUCACUCCAGUCACUCUACUCAUGGAUACCCACCUAUUCCUCUUCCCAUUCUUUAUAUUUGACUUAUGAAAUUAUAACAUCUUAUUUGGCUAUUAGGUUCUUAAUUUAAAGAAAAUUAAUCUAAGUACCCUGUUUAUCUUUUAAGAUCUCAGUGUUGUCAGGGUUUCCCUUGUCAAUAGAAUCUAAUAUGGUGUCAGAAGACUUUUGCUGCCACUAUUCUCAGCAUUUUAUGCCUGUUAAGAUCUAGCAGUGUCCUGAGCCAGAGAAUACAACCAAUUAUGAAAACCAAAUAUGAAACUUUAGGUGUUGCCAAGCACAAUUUAGAUAUUAGACCAAAUAAACAGUCCAGGAAGAAAAUACUAUGUAUUUGCAUUUUGAAAGCACCCAAACCUGCAGUAGUUUUCAUUGAAAUAAAAAGUCAGAAGAGAGACAUGGCAGCAAUCCUUUUAUUUAGUAAUGCAUAGACAAAGUUUCAGACAGCUUUGUGGUUUGUAUGUCUUAUUAACUAGACCUAACCGUUUUCCCAUUUAGGUGGGACUUUUAGGCUACACUUUGGAGACACAUAAUUCCAGCAUUCAAAUCUACCUUAGUUGAAAAAAUGGCAAAUUUUCAGGUGGCACAAUACUGAAACUAUAUGACCUCUCCAGAUCUUUCUUUUAUUUCUACUUAUUUAUGCUUUGUACAAUGCUUAGCAUUGUGAAACAUAUUUAUGAAAGGCAUAAUUUGUAUAAGACUACAAAACAUAAAGCAACUAUGUCACAUGCAUAAUAUAUAUUAAAAUAAACCAAUAAGCCCAGCAUUAAUACCCAUACUAUGUUAUCUCCUGUUAGAGAAAAUAAAUAGUCAUCCUAGUUUGUCCUGCCAAUAGUUUCUUCCCUGAGUAAUACCAAAGAUAAUCUACCAGUCCUCAAAUUUCUCAAGUCUGCCAUUUAUGAUAGCCAGGAACAUUUCUUGAUAUUUUCAGUAUCAAAUUGUGACAUUACUUGACAUGAUUUUAUAAGUGGAGUUCCAGAACUUAUCAAAUUUCACCUUUACAAAGGCCUGGGUAGACUUAUAAAAGGAAUAUGAUAGAAGUCCUGUUUUAUUUUUUUUCACAUACUUUAGAAGCCAUCUGCUUUUACAAACAGGAAAAGUAUAUCUGCUAGCUAGACUCAGCACUAUGAAAAGUAUAUACAAGUAACAAUAUAAGUAAAUGUAUGUGAGAAAGCAGGGAAAUAUGGAUGAACAGUGAGUCCUGCAUUUAGGUGGUCUAACUUAAAUUAGUUCAGUUCAUGAUCAGUUAGUCAUGAAAAUGUUUAGUGUUAGUAGCAACAAGAGGACUAAGUUUUCUUCAUACAAUACAGAGAAAAUGAAAUGAAAACACUCAUACCCAUUACUCUAUUUCAUAUGCAUUAUGUAUGGAAUACUAUAUAUUAUUCAAAACUUUUUAUUUGACUAUUCCAUAAAAGACUGAUUCUUCUGAUUUUUUUUUGAGAGGUCUUUACUGACCACACUCAGAACUAGCAACUUUUUUCCCAGAGCAAUUUUCUUUAUUCCACUAUGCAGACAGAAAUUAUUCUAAGGAGGAAGCUACAUAAAAUUAUCCUGAUAAUGUGCACAGAAUUAAAGAUUCAAAAAGAAAUGAAAAGGUACAUACACAAUUGUCUUUGUACAGUUUGCAAUUUAUCUUUAGAUUCAGAGCACUGUAUGAAUCACCCAUGAGAAUUAAACUAACCUCUGCUUUAAGAAUCAUCUGUCUGUUUGCCAAUGGCAUGUAUUAAUCAGAGUCUUAUUUUCAAAUAUUACACUUGAGAUUGAUUGACAUUUAGGCAAAA